rnacentral:rRNA from 1 species
UGGGGAAUCUUGCACAAUGGGCGCAAGCCUGAUGCAGCCAUGCCGCGUGUAUGAAGAAGGCCUUCGGGUUGUAAAGUACUUUCAGUCGGGAGGAAGGUGGUAAGGUUAAUAACCUUAUCAAUUGACGUUACCGACAGAAGAAGCACCGGCUAACUCCGUGCCAGCAGCCGCGGUAAUACGGAGGGUGCAAGCGUUAAUCGGAAUUACUGGGCGUAAAGCGCACGCAGGCGGUCUGUCAAGUCGGAUGUGAAAUCCCCGGGCUCAACCUGGGAACUGCAUUCGAAACUGGCAGGCUAGAGUCUUGUAGAGGGGGGGAGAAUUCCAGGUGUAGCGGUGAAAUGCGUAGAGAUCUGGAGGAAUACCGGUGGCGAAGGCGGCCCCCUGGACGAAGACUGACGCUCAGGUGCGAAAGCGUGGGGAGCAAACAGG